GACAGAGGGUGCAAACGUUGUUCGGAUUUACUGGGCGUAAAGGGCGCGUAGGCGGCGUGACAAGUCACUUGUGAAAUCUCCGGGCUUAACUCGGAACGGUCAAGUGAUACUGUCGUGCUAGAGUACAGAAGGGGCAACUGGAAUUCUCGGUGUAGCGGUGAAAUGCGUAGAUAUCGAGAGGAACACCUGCGGCGAAGGCGGGUUGCUGGGCUGAUACUGACGCUGAGGCGCGAAAGCUAGGGGAGCGAACGGG
rnacentral:rRNA from 1 species